GGGGGCAAGGUGGUAUAACAUUCAGAUCAUAGGUAAGAGAGAUUUUCUUUUUAUAAAGCCAUGCUUGUUAUUACUUGUCCUGUGAUCAAAAGGAAUAAGGCUUUUUAGGAGCAGGAGUCCAGGGAUGGAGUUAGAGAGAAAUGUUAAAACUCUUUAAGCAUACUGCCCUUUCAAUUAAUUCAUCAAUUUCAAAGCUUGGCCUCCUGGUUCUAUCUGUUCCCUAACCCAUCCCCCAAUGCUAAUUUUUGUCCUGGUUUUUAAUCUCUUUUUUUCCAUCUCCCUCCCCCUGACUUCUUCCUCCUUUUCCUCUUUCUUUUCUCCCUCAUUCUUGUUCUCUGCAAUUUCUACUCAACAUAUAAGUACCCAACCAAGAAUUUAUGAACUUCUGAAAUGCCUUAUUAUUCACUAAACUGUGGGUAUGAGUGAAUAUGUUUGCCCCACUCCAUAGGCUGUCAGAGGCUUUUCUUGAUUCCCAGAGCUUACUAUCAGCCAACUUCCAUUAUAUUUAGUAACUCCCCAGCUUAGUGUGACACUUCCUCUUCUUGAUUCUUGAGUCAGGCAGAUAUCCAAUUCAGAUUUAAUAUAUUGUAGAGUUACCCUGGGGCUCUUUGCUGAUUAAUCUGAGGUAGUAUAUAAGUGGUGGUACAGCAUUUGGGCUCUAACCCAUACUGCCUGGCCUCAAAUCCUAGUACUACUACUUAGUUCUCUAUGCUAUUAAAGAGAGAAUAAUAAUAUCAACCACCACCAAAGGUUGGUAUAUAUAUGUAAAGCAUUUAGAACAUAGUCUGAAACAUGAUCUAGUAAGUAUUAGUUAUUAUUAUGAAUUUACCAAUGACCUUACUGGGGAAAGACACAGGUUACUUCUAACACACUAUUCAACAAAUAUUUAUUGAAUGACCACAAGUGACAGAUAAUGUGCAGGCAGAAUAUAGAGAUGAAGCAAAAACUAGUUCUAACUUCAAUGAGCUGCAUUUGGUCUAUAGAUAGAACUGAGGGCAAAGGAAUAGCUGCUUUUCUAGAUAAUCCUUUACUAUUAUCUCUAUUGACUUGAAUGCAAGAAAGAAUGUUUAUCCUUUGACUAAUAUAUUCGGUUUUCUUCAGAAGGUCAGAAACACAUUUUGUAACCAUAUAUCAUGAUCCCCCUUGCUCUCUCCUAAAUAUACUAGGGAUUACAAAAUUAUCUCUUCCUAUUUUACUAUCAACAAAAAGAAAUAAUAGGGGCUGGGGCUACAGCUUAGUGGCAGAGUGCUUGCCUAACAUGCAUGGGGCACUGGGGUCAAUCUCAACACCACAUA
rnacentral:lncRNA from 1 species